rnacentral:rRNA from 1 species
AGGACGAACGCUGGCGGCGUGCUUAAUACAUGCAAGUCGAACGGAGUUAGAGACUCGGUUUUAACUUAGUGGCGAACGGGUGAGUAACGCGUGAGCAACCUGACUCAAAGAGGGGGACAACAGCUGGAAACGGCUGCUAAUACCGCAUAAGACCACAGGGAGGCAUCUUCAAGGGGUCAAAGAAAUUCGCUUUGAGAGGGGCUCGCGUCCCAUUAGAUAGUUGGUGAGGUAACGGCCCACCAAGUCCGCGAUGGGUAGCCGAGCUGAGAGGCUGAUCGGCCACACUGGAACUGAGACACGGUCCAGACUCCUACGGGAGGCAGCAGUAGGGAAUAUUGGGCAAUGGGCGCAAGCCUGACCCAGCAACGCCGCGUGAGGGAAGAAGGUUUUCGGAUUGUAAACCUCUGUCCUAUGUGACGAAGGAAGUGACGGUAGCAUAGGAGGAAGCCCCGGCUAACUACGUGCCAGCCGCCGC